GAAGGAAAUGAGAUUAGUACAUUUUAGCAGAAACCAACAGACACUGAGAGGUAUUAGUGACUUAGAGUCCGCGGGGAGACUUUCUUGGCUGAAAUAAUGAUUAGUAUAUAAGACUGACCCUAGGAUAAGAAGUCACCACUGCAUUUGGAGCUUUUAAGGCACACUCACAAUUAUUCAAGAGCGGAUAUUUUAUUGAAGAUGUCCAGCCAUUCUGCAGAAAAUUUAUUAAAAAGUUUACCAUUUUGGCCAUUCAAGAACUCAGAAGAGAAAUAAAUCCCAUUUCCAAAGUCAGCACAGACCUACAAUAAUAAUAAUACUGUAUUAGGUGUAAAUACUACCUUUAUUGUCUAAUAAAGGAAUCGAUGGAAGCUUUUAGAUGGCUAAAGUCACUUUGUCAGCCCAAUCUCCGUCUCUGUCUGUCUGUCUCUCUAUGUUUUUUGAUACAGUAUUUCAUUUGAUUUUUUUAAAAAAACCAUUUAUAAUAAAACACUGAAAACCUGUGAAUCGUGUUUUUUCAGUGUAAGUGUCUUUUUAUUAUAUUCACACAAGAGUCAUUAAC